rnacentral:lncRNA from 1 species
GGAAGACGUGUCCUUUCUGCAGGGAGCGUCAUCUUUCGUUCCCGCCCCUCCCCCGGGACCCGAUGCAAGGAAGCUAACACAAAGACUGCCAUUCAAUUUUAUCUUACUUUGGCCCUUUUUUAAAGAGACGCUUUUGCAGGCGCUGGCACACCUGUAAUCCUAGCACCUGGGAGACUGAAGCAGGAGGAUCGCUGUGAGUUCAAGGCCACCCUGGGCUAAAUAAUAAGAUAAACUACGGAGCGCACAGUGGGUGUUCAAAAACCAUGCAAGAGGUGCUUGCGAAGGCGGCACUGCUCCUCGGUGGCAGCACUCUGGCAGAAGGAGGGACGCAAGCCAGGCAUUUUCCGUGCCAGGCUGGGUACCACGGUCACUUACUGAAAGCCACGGCGGGAAAACCGCGGGCCGAGGGAGCGGCUCGCGGCGGCUCGCGGCAGCGCGCGCUCUGCUGGCGGGGGAGAAAUCUGCCGAUCCGCCCGCUCUGUGGUCCUAGGAAUUAGACUUCAGCGGACUUCACAGGCUGCUGAUUCCUCAGGCCCCCUCCAGAGGCUGCUGCGAGGGAUCGCUCAGGGCUUCAGAGUGGAUCUGCAGGGACUGGUGCUGUCCCCGAGACGAGCGAGCCUGCGUGGCCAGCCUGACUGAAGAAGACACGGAGCUGUGCACCAGCACGGCGUGGCAUGGUAAUCUCAGCACGCUGGGAGGCUGAGGCAGGAGGAUCGCAAAUCUGAGCCCCGCCUGGACAAUUUAGUGACUUCAGGAGACCUUGUCUCAAAAAAAAAAAAAAAAGAAAAAGAAAAAAAAUUUUAAAGUCUGGGGAUGGCUCAGUACAAUACAAUCCAACAACAAUACAAAUCCAGUACAAUGCUGGACUUCAAUUCCCCAGUGCUAUAAAAAUAAAUAAACAAAUAUUAAAAAGUAAAAAGGAGGCAGGUGUGGUGGCACAGCCCUGUAAUCCCAGAACUGAGGAUGCUGAGGCAGGAGGAUUGCAAGUUCAAACCCAGCCUGGGUUAUAUAGCAAGACCCUGGUCUUACAAAAGGAAAAAAUAAAUAGG